rnacentral:misc_RNA from 1 species
CAUCCUGCAAUCGGCAUCUGCGGCCUUCACGCCGACAUUUCAAGCCACCAUUCCGGACAUUCUUCCCGAUGAAGGCCAGUACACUCGGGCCUUGUCACUCUCUCGCCUCGCUUAUGACAUGGAAAGCCUUCUCAGUCCGAUGCUGGCUGCUGGGUUGUUGACGGUCAUCGGCUUUAACUGGCUCUUUCUUGGAACGGUUGUGGGGUUUU